GUCGGGAUAGCUCAGCUGGUAGAGCAGAGGACUGAAAAUCCUCGUGUCACCAUUCAAAUAAA
rnacentral:tRNA from 1 species